rnacentral:lncRNA from 1 species
CUGAGAUCCUGCUUGGAAGAAGAAUGCCUCCGUGAAGCAGACGAACCGACGUAGUCGAACGGGUUCUCACAAUCCGGCACGCUGCGAAACUCUAUCGAGACGAAGCAAACCGGAAACACAAAUCAACACACGAUAUUCACCACACGAUGCACAAAACAAAUGAUGCAUGAGGACCUGAAUAUAUGCAAGUCACAGCAUGACAAAUCACGACAAACAAACACUACACAUUAAGUGAAGUUCAAUAUGCUACGAAUUGCAUAUUGACGAAACUCCACGUUUAAUUAUUUAGUUCUAUCCCGAUUAGAUACAUGAAUAUAUUAAAUGUUGUUAAACAUGGCACGAGGGUGAAGCACAAAUUAAUCUACCUAGCUAGGCAUUUUAAAUGAGACCGGAAACGACAUAUAGCACCUCCGAGGCGACCUCACAUGUUAAUUUACAAUUCUGUCCAGAUCUGAACUAAUGCUUUUAGUUAGUUGUUAAACAGAAAAACACAUAGGUUCACGUGAUUCUAUGCGUCAUUUCAAGCAAUCUACCCAUAAAGAACAUCUCCAACGGAGCUACGGACAAAUAGUUACGACCUAAACCGUUUUCAACACGUCGACACGCGAACCGAAGCAAACAACACACUAAACAGUUCUAAUUAUGCAUGAGAGUUGGAAAAUAUUACUCUACGCAAAAUUCUAGCCAAGUUACAUAUUUAAAUCACUCCGAUCCGGUGCACGGUUAAGAAACUACGAGCCCUUGAAAAACAAUGCAUUUUUCUGAAAUUAAAGAAAAAAUUACACGUGCUAAAAAAACCACUACUGGGCCGAAUCUAUGCAAAAGGCUGCAGCCAGCGGAAAUUUUCGGCCCAUGUGCUUGGGUGUGUGGCUGUGCAAAACAAAUACAGAACAUGGCAAAACAUAUUAGGGGCUUGGCUGGGAUUCGAACCAAGGACCUCUUGGUGGCUAGAACUAUGGAUUGACCAGCUUGCCUACUGCAUGUUUGUGACACAACAUGGGAUCGAUGUCAAAUAGCUAAUCCUCUAGUGAUGGAAUAAAAUGACUAAUAAAAUGGUGCUUCUGUGGGGAUUCGAACCCACAACCUCUUCCAUCAAGGCCGGUUGUGCUAGCCAACUCAGCUGGCUGCGUGCUCGUGUUAAAACUUAGUGCCAGAACCUAUUUACCUAAACAUGCUAGGACGGAUCUAGGCAAAGAAAUAAAGCUUCAGUUACGGGUCUCACAUGGGGAAUACAGAUCUCGACAUGGCCGAGUUCCCUCGAUCUGGAGCGAACCAGCAGCGGAAAAGGGAGGCUUGGCGGUGCCAGAUCCGGCCGUUGGGGCUCCAUUCCCGCCUUCAGAGCUUGAUUCGGAGUUGGGGACGACUGGAUCAUGAGCUGCAAGCUCCGGUUCCAUGGCGCGGUGCUGCUGCUCCUGUUGGACAGAGAGAGAGACGAGGUGAGAGAGGAAAAGAGGGAAGGGAGAAGUAGCAGGGCAGGCGGGUUGACACACCUCACCGGCGAUGAGAGGCCGGCGUGAGCGGGACAGAAGGAGCCCAGGCCUCGAACUGCACUGGGACGGAGAGGUUCCCGAGCAGCAGACACACUGACGAGGUCACCAGUACAGCGAGAAGCGAGGUGAAGUUGAAAGCGCAUCGGGGUUUGGUGCAAGCACUCCUGCUAGAGAGGAAUUCCUGGACUACCGGGCGGUCCGGCAAGGUGCCGACAUCGACAAGCUUCGGCUGCGGUGGCUGUUGUUCGAGGCUACGCGCCCAGGAGGAGGACCCGGAUCGAGGCCUAGGGCGCCUGCGGGCUGCGGGGCUUGUCCUGCUUGGAGAGGGGAUGGGAGGAUGGAUGCGGUUGGCCGGUGGCUGAAAACGAGGAGAGGGGUGAAUGGAUCGGGAGGAGGCUGGCUUAGUGCAUUUUUGGAUCGGAAGCCAUCCCGAGAGAGAGGCUGGCGGCGGGUUGGGACAAG